AAGGAUGCUGAAGCCUGAUUUAGUCUUUUUUGGUGAUCUCAUAAUACGAAUGCUACAGGACUGAAUUCCUUGUGUAUGGAAACACAGCCAACAAGAGACCCUGAAAUGCCCAAAAUUUCCAUGAUGAAAACAGAAAAAAAGUGACAGAGUACUAAACUGUUAGAAAUGGAAAAUCUAUAAACUAUUUGAAAAGUCAGACUUGUAUUGCCCCAAAACAUCUGUCUGUGUCAUGGGGAAAAAUGGUAAGUGAAUGCUGUGCACGCUGGGAAGCAAAGAGUAAACCAGGGAUACAAUACAUUUGAAAUCCAUGCUGGUCAGCUGAAAUGAUAAUUCUUGUUUUUAUAAAGAGAGCACACAAAUUUGUUUCUUUACAUUUAAAAGCAUAUACUUGUGACAGAGCAUUAAUCCACAGGGUCUGCAGCUUUGCUUGCUCGCUGUCACAAUGCAGAGCAAAGCAUGCCUUACAAAGGUUUGAUACUGACUGUCCUUUGAAUUUAAAUAUAAAUGCCCAUAGGUAUAUGCCCACAGAUUUGGCACUACUUUCAUUAAGCUGCCUCAAAAAACUGCAGCCUGGUGCUACACUGGCAGGCUCAUAGUGUGCCACUGCUACCCUCCAAAGAAACUCAGAGACCAGUACAGAAGGGCUCAGGCCACAUUUGUCCUUCUGUAGCCUGCUGUAGCUUUCUUCUCAGUGAGCUACUCAGUGAGGACAAACAGCUGGACCUUCAUCUAAACAUGUAAGCAGAGAAUAAUCCUUUACAUCUUUAGCACAAUCAGCUAUCUUGUGUGUUGGAAGACAAUCUGCGUGCCAUGUUAAGAAGCAAAAGCUUAUUAAAGUUGACCUCAUCAUUUAUAUACUUGUACAUUUAAGUGAAUACGUAGUGGAUCACAUUCCUGUUGCUUUGCUUGUUGAAACUGCAGUCCCCUGAGAUGCGAGGGCACAGCAGCUGGCACAGCCCUUCCACUACGACAGGAAAAAUGGAAAUAAGCCACAGGCAGACAGCACUCCAGAUGGAAAGGGUCAGCAGUGGAAAGCUGAGUUCGAAACCUAUUGAUCCCAGCAGCCCUUGCAUUGAAACACAAAUGAACAUAGAGUAUGAACAAAAGAUCUAAACCAUCUAAAGUGCAUGACAUGUAUGCAGAUACAUUUGCAAGUGAUGCCACUGGACAUUGCUGAACACAGCAACGCACAAAUAGGAUUCAGCAGCUGCUCCCUUCCUGCUCUGUACAGAUAACUAGGUUUCAUGCAUGUGGCAGCUUCUAUCAUUUUCUGUCCAAAUCUGGGGGAGGGAAGGAUACAGAAGAUAGGAGGAAGCAAUAUUUUAUAUUGCUAUCUAGCCAGCUUCUCAGAAACACUGAAGAAAUGGUGUUAACACAAUUCUGAAACUGCUGCUCAGCUGAGAGGAAGCAUGACGCCCAAAGAACCUCUUGGGGAGAAGUGGGUGAAGGUGUGCAGAUAUGACUUCUGAAGAUGAAGAAUACAGUACUUCUCUUUUUUAUUCAUAAACCAAAUAAAUUUUAUUUUGAGGCUUUGAAAAUGUAAAAAAAUCUACCCCUUCUUAAAUCAAAAGGUGCGUAUCAGGUGACUAAAGUAAACAUGAUAAUUAAAAGGAAUAAAAAUAGUUGGAAUGUUUUUGUAAUUGCUCCAUAGUCAUUGUUAGGCUUUCCUGAUUAAUGCAGUUAGAAACCUUGAGCUAAAAGCAUUUAG